UACGGAGGGUGCAAGCGUUAUCCGGAUUCACUGGGUUUAAAGGGUGCGUAGGUGGGUCUGUAAGUCAGUGGUGAAAUCCCCGAGCUUAACUUGGGAACUGCCGUUGAUACUAUAGAUCUUGAAUAUCGUGGAGGUAAGCGGAAUAUGUCAUGUAGCGGUGAAAUGCUUAGAUAUGACAUAGAACACCCAUUGCGAAGGCAGCUUACUACACGAUCAUUGACGCUGAGGCACGAAAGCGUGGGGAGCAAACAGG
rnacentral:rRNA from 1 species